CCUACGGGAGGCAGCAGUGGGGAAUAUUGGACAAUGGGGGGAACCCUGAUCCAGCGACGCCGCGUGAGUGAAGAAGGAUUUCGGUAUGUAAAGCUCUAUCAGCAGGGAAGAAAGAAAUGACGGUACUGGACUAAGAAGCCUCGGCUAACUACGGGCCAGCAGCCGCGGUAAUACGUAGGGGGCAAGCGUUAUCCGGAUGUACUGGGUGUAAAGGGCGCGUAGACGGCGAUGCAAGUCUGAAGUGAAAGGCGGGGGCCCAACCCCCGGACUGCUUUGGAAACUGUAUGGCUGGAGUGCAGGAGAGGUAAGUGGAAUUCCUGGUGUAGCGGUGAAAUGCGUAGAGAUUAGGAGGAACACCAGUGGCGAAGGCGGCUUACUGGACUGUAACUGACGUUGAGGCUCGAAAGCGUGGGGAGCAAACAGGAUUAGAUACCCCUGUAGUC
rnacentral:rRNA from 1 species